UGCCUGUGUGCGUACACUGAAAUCCCAUUCACCUCUAUGAAUGCUGUGGUCUCCAAGUCUCAACCUCCAGCUGCGAGUGUUCGGUGUUGUGCUUUCUCUCUAAAAGUCAUGUUAACAGCUGUUACUGUAGAUUGCUAAUGUGUGAUCAAACUGUUUUCUGUACCUCAUUGCUUUGUUCUUUAUAAGAUCUUUUGUUUUCUGCUGCUCUGUCACUGCGUUUCUGCUGCCCCUCCCUCUAGCUGGGUUUGUCAAGUCGCCCAUGUCAGAAACUAAGCUCACGGGGGACGCCUUUGAACUGUACUGUGAUGUGGUUGGGAAUCCCACUCCAGAGAUCCAGUGGUGGUAUGCUGAAGUCAACCGGGCUGAGUCUUUCAAACAGCUGUGGGAUGGCGCUCGGAAGCGCCGUGUCACCAUUAACACCGCCUACGGGGCGAAUGGGGUGAGUGUGCUGAGAAUAACCCGCCUUACCCUGGAAGACUCUGGGACUUACGAGUGCAGGGCCAGCAACGAUCCCAGGAGGAAUGACUUGAGGCAAAAUCCCUCCAUAACGUGGAUUCGAGCCCAGGCUACUAUAAGCGUCCUUCAGAAGCCAAGGAUCAAUGCCAGCGAGGACAUAACCAUCCCAGCUUAUGGUCAGGCCGCCAUCACGUUGCAGUGUAACCUCACCACCAGUCCCAGCCCCCUCUCUGCCAGCUACUGGGUAAAGAAUGGAGAAGAGAUCCCUGGCACUAGAAAAACCUCAAACACUACAGAAUACAAGAUUUUGAAGCCCAGAGCAGAAGAGUCAGGGGAAUACUUGUGCGUGUUUGUGUUUUCAAACUCUCCUGUAGCCAACGCCACUAUAGAAGUGAGAGCUAUCCCUGACAUCACUGGCCACAAGCGAAGCGAGAAUAAAAACGAGGGGCAGGAGGCACUGAUGUACUGCAAGUCCGUGGGCUUCCCACAUCCCGAGUGGGUGUGGCGCAAGAAGGUCAACGGAGUGUUUGAGGACAUCAACAACUCUUCUGGCAGAUUCUUUAUUUCAAAUAAAGACAACUACACUGAGCUCAGCAUCACGAACCUACAGAUCAACGAGGAUCCCGGCGAGUACCAGUGCAACGCAACCAACCAGAUCGGCUCCGUGUCCGUCACAACUAUCCUGCGCGUCCGCAGCCACUUGGCUCCUCUUUGGCCCUUUCUGGGGAUCUUGGCAGAAAUUUUUAUCCUCGUUUUCAUCAUAGUUAUUUAUGAGAAAAGGAAGCGGCCAGACGAAGUCCCAGACGAUGAUGAACCAGCUGGGCCAAUGAAAACCAAUUCUACAAACAAUCAUAAAGAUAAAAACUUACGCCAGAGAAACACAAAUUAAAAAUGCUUAUCAUUUCCAGCAGAGCUGCCUGCGCGGGAGUUACAUCAGAAGUGUCAGUUUCCUGGGUAACGUGAUUUGCAGUGAACGCGUUCUGUGAGAGAGAAAUGGUCCCGUGCAAAGAGUGUGCGCUGCUGCGAGGCGCACAGAGGCAGCUGGAGGUGAAGGUGAGUGGUCACCGUGGUACGGAGGGGUCUGUCUUUGGGUUAAAGCACUUCAGGUGCCCAGCGUGGCCUCUUCCAAUGCUCUGUCACAAGAGCAAGGCUGAAGCAUGCCUCCUGUGGGCAGCUCAGAACUGCUGUUAGCUCCUCUAGCUCCCGCUGCUUGAAGCUGGAACAGCAUGAGGGCAGGCAGACUGCUUAUGCUGAUGUCUGGUACAGCUGUGUCUGCAUGCACUGAAACAGAUGCCUCCUAUUUUUAGUAAUGGUAGUGGUUCACACGAAGUCUUCCUGCUCAUGUUGUUGUCUUUAAAAAUGUUUUUUUUUAAAAAAAAAACAUUGCUAGAGAGAAUGUCUAAGACUAAAGCUCCUGCUCCCUUCUGGAGGUGGUGGAAAUGGAGAAAUGCAACUCAAAAGCAUUCGGAGCAGCAGCAGGAUGGGUAUGUCUCCAAAGCUGAACUGGGGAAAGAAGCUUAGCCCUGAACAAGCUUUAUAAUUCCAGGGCAUGGGAAAUCCCAGCUCACAUCACAGCUGCGUUAAGCUGAGUAAAAAGUGUAGAGGGGCAAGUAGUGGAUGAUGUGUACAGCUGUUGAGGAGCCUUGGUGGAAGAGAAUUUGCUAGUAACUCGAGGGAGAGAUGAAUUAAAGCACGUGGCAAAUGAAGGCCUUCCUAGCAGAAAGCUUUGCUCAGAAGCAGGGAUCAUGCACCCACCUUAUACAUGGACUGAAGAAUGGGAAUUCUUAGUUUUUGUUGGUGCAGAUAGUAGCCCUGGUAGCAUCCUGAUGUUUAAUGAAGACACUUAACAGAUGUUUACAGCAUAUGAGAUAGCUUUCUCUGCACCUGAGAUUCACGUAUAGGAUCCAAAUUACAUUUUUUUUUUCCUUCUUACCUGUGCUAGCUGCUUUGUAGAUCUUCUUUCUCCAAAGUUCAUGCAGGAAUCUGGCAGAGGCUCAUCUGGCUAGAAAACAUUAAAUGCAAAUAAGGGCUUGUUCCCAAGAAGAGUGGGUAAUGUGCAGGAUUAGAGAUAACGGGAAGUAAAAAGGCAUCUCUUUUUAUGGAACCUGAAAGCACAUCUGUUAAAGUCUUUAAAAAUGAAAGACAGGGAAUAAUAGGCCUGUAGUUAAACUGUCAUAUCUAAACCAAGGUAACUUUUAAGCUACUUGCUGGAAGUAACUGUAAAGAAAUGCCAUGAUGCUCCCCAGGAGCGUGCUCUUUUAACUUCCCAUGGGUUACACCCCUGAAAAGAUGGUUCAGGGUGUCAGUUCUGUUCUGGAGUGAGGCUUCCAGUGACUUGUGGAGUGGUACUGCUAGUAAGACAGAUGUUCAACAGUAUUCUGCUGUUAAAUACUUGAUGUAAUCUCUAUUCUUUUUACUCAUUAGGAAAUGAGUGAAAGCCAAAGUACAGAUAAAUCUGCUUGAAAACAAGCAGUAAAUCUUGAAAUCAGGUUUUGAAGGUUUCCUGAACAUCUUUCUGCUAACAGUGGUACUAAGAAUUCUAGCACUGGAAUUAAUUGCAUCCAAUAAAACACUGAAGUAAAAUGUUCACGAUGUGCUGAUUUGAAGGAAGGAAAGGAAAUAAAGUAUACAACUGUGCAGUGUACCCCGAACAUGAUGUGUCCUCAGAGCAUGGCCAGAAACUGCCGCAGAGGCUGUGGAGGUAUUCCUGUUAAAAUUCCAUUACCUACAGUAUGCAGGAAUGAGAUUUUCCUACCCUAAGAUACACCAUCUGUUAGGCAACGCUGCAAAAACAGGUCCUAUAAAUAUGUUAUACUAUUUAAUUCCAAAUGAAAUACUGAAAAUCAAGAACAAUCAAAAAUCAAGAACAGAAAUCAUAUACAUUAGAUGUGAUGGAUCUUUAUCUUCCAGGCUCCCAAGGUCCAUUUACCCUGCUCUCCUUCCCAGCUGGUUGAUCACAGGUACUCGUUUCUGGCUGUGUCAUUAUAGAAUGUUUAAAAUGGCCUUUAAAGCAUUCCUGUUCCUCAAGAGUUUACCCAUUCAAGUAAAUAAUUCUGUUUCUUUGGGCAGCUGAUGGAAACACUGGACUCGUACACAAUCACUUCUUCCAGCAGCACGGACUUGCUUUGAUCAUCAAGUCUGGAGCACUUCUAGGUACCGUAAUCAUGUCAAAACAGCAGCACCUGUGAGCACAGCACGAGGAGCGUGCUGCUCUGCCUGCUCUGAAAGUGCUCAGACUCAGUGCCCGCUCUGCAGGGUUCUCUAUGGCAAGAAAACAGUAUUUCAAAUUGCAUUAGUGAAAAGACUAACAGAAAAGAAUUCAUUAAAUACUUCACUAUUUUGUGACUCAUUAAAAUAAUUUUUCAAGGCUACUGUACGUAUCGAAGUUGUUGUAUGUGAACAUUUUGUAGCAUUUAUAAAUGUUCUUCUCACAGAUCGCAGCACAGUCAUAGUGUCACUUGGCUCUAAAAAGCUACUUUUUUUUUCAGAAAAGAUUUCUCCUGCUUUAAGAAAACAGGACUGCAAGGAUACACAACUACGAGCACUUAAGAGAAAAUAUGUUGAUAUGAAGUCAGGAACGCCUGAGUGUUGGAUCAGCUUCAUUCAGCCAUUAAUGAAACACAGAUUUCCAUUUCUGAGCUGUUUUUCACCUCAGUUUUGUGCAAAUGGAGAUGUAGUGUUUUCCAUAGAUGGACCUAAUCAGCACCGAGUCCAAUGAACACCAGCAUUUACUGCAGGAGAAUGAAAAAAGAGAAUUUCUAUAUGAAAUACAAAGUCUGAAGCUAACA